CUGCCACGCUUAAAUACAGUUUAAAGGCUUGCAAUACUCCUAAAAAAAUCGCAGGAUAUGGAAGGGAAACUGUGUUCAGAAGCCGUCAAUCGCCAAACUAGAGCACCACAACUGCAAGCACAUGCAUAGUGAAAGAAAAAUUUAUGGGCUUCAACACCGUUAGGCUAUCUAUCUGCCACCAUCAGAUCGUCAAACUGGCUCCGAUUUGUUGAGAUCUUUGUCAAUUACAACACUUGGGUAAUUUCCAAGAAGAGUUGCUGGAACAAACUGAUAGCUACAGGCUCCUCUAGCUUAUGAUUGCUUAUGUGCACAAAGGUUUUGAAGUGCUGUGGAAGGAACAUUUUCUUCGAUUAUUGCUUUUUGUUGUAGAAACAUUUAUGAUAUUACUUUUUGAUAUGGUCUUCUAGGGUAAAUAUGAAGGAAAAUGUUACAUUCUUGUGGCAUUCUAACUAAUAUUAUUGUUUUGUAUUUUCUGCCAAAUCAGCUUAUAGAUAAAUAUUGACAAAUGGCAGGUGGUAGUUAUACAGGAGUCACAAAUCACAAGAAAUGUUGGUUGGAGUUAAAAAUGUGUCUUUCUUUCAACCUAUAUGUAUAUCCGAAGGAUAACACACUCUAUCAAAUCUAUGAAAUUCUAUAUGUAUUAUUUU